UAAAGAUUCAUCGGCUGCGGAUGGCCAUGCGGCGCAUUAGCUAGUCGGCGGGGUAACGGCCCACCGAGGCGACGAUGCGUAGGGGUUCUGAGAGGAAGGUCCCCCACACUGGUACUGAGACACGGACCAGACUCCUACGGGAGGCAGCAGUGAGGAAUAUUGGUCAAUGGCCGGGAGGCUGAACCAGCCAAGUCGCGUGAGGGAAGACGGCCCUACGGGUUGUAAACCUCUUUUGUCAGGGAGCAAGAGGCGGGUCGAGACCUGCCGUGAGAGUACCUGAAGAAAAAGCAUCGGCUAACUCCGUGCCAGCAGCCGCGGUAAUACGGAGGAUGCGAGCGUUAUCCGGAUUUAUUGGGUUUAAAGGGUGCGCAGGCGGAGGCACAAGUCAGCGGUAAAAUCGCGGGGCUCAACCCCGCUCCGCCGUUGAAACUGUGUCCCUUGAGUGCGCGAAGGGUAGGCGGAAUGCGUGGUGUAGCGGUGAAAUGCAUAGAUAUCACGCAGAACUCCGAUCGCGAAGGCAGCCUACCGGCGCGCAACUGACGCUCAUGCACGAAAGCGUGGGUAUCGAACAGGAUUAGAUACCCUGGUAGUCCACGCAGUAAACGAUGAAUGCUAUCUGUCCGGCCGGAAUGACGGCUGGGUGGC
rnacentral:rRNA from 1 species